GUCUUGUAAUUGGAAUGAUGGUGACCCAAACCCUCACCAGAGUAGCAAUUGGAGGGCAAGUCUGGUGCCAGCAGCCGCGGUAAUUCCAGUGUUCGAGUUUGCCAUUCGUUUGGCCUUUUCGAGUUCGCUUUUGGGUUUUCCCUUUUUACUUUGAGAAAAUUAGAGUGUUUCAAGCAGACUUUUGUCUUGAAUACUUCAGCAUGGAAUAAUAGAGUAGGACUUUGGUUCUAUUUUGUUGGUUAUUGAACCUUAGUAAUGGUUAAUAGGAACGGUUGGGGGCAUUCGUAUUUAACUGUCAGAGGUGAAAUUCUUAGAUUUGUUAAAGACGAACUACUGCGAAAGCAUUUGCCAAGGACGUUUCCAUUAAUCAAGAACGAAAGUUAGGGGAUCGAAGACGAUCAGAUACCGUCGUAGUCCUAACCAUAAACUA
rnacentral:rRNA from 1 species